rnacentral:rRNA from 1 species
CCAGACUUGACAUACAGAGGAAUGGUGCAGAAAUGUGCCCGCCCUUCGGGGCCUCUGUACAGGUGCUGCAUGGCUGUCGUCAGCUCGUGCCGUGAGGUGUUUGGUUAAGUCCAGCAACGAGCGCAACCCUUAUCGUUAGUUGCCAACGCGUAAUGGCGGGAACUCUAACGAGACUGCCUGGGUUAACCAGGAGGAAGGUGAGGAUGACGUCAAGUCCGCAUGGCCCUUAUGUCUGGGGCUACACACGUGCUACAAUGGUCGGUACAGAAGGCAGCAAAGCCGCGAGGCGAAGCAAAUCCCUAAAGCCGAUCUCAGUUCAGAUUGUAGUCUGCAACUCGACUACAUGAAGACGGAAUUGCUAGUAAUGGCGUGUCAGCAACAACGCCGUGAAUACGUUCCC